ensembl:lncRNA
AGUCAAAAGAAUGCGUUUGAGCACCUUCAGCCAUUGGCUCUUGUUCAAGGACAUCCCGCUGAUUGGCUGAAGUCAGAUCUUAUUCUCUAGAAAGUUUGUUACAGAAGAAGCCCCUAGUAUCAAAGCAACAUACCCGCCAAACAAAACUAACCUUGUUGAAUAAAUGAAAAUGUCUUCAAGAUGGUCAAUCCAGUAUCUUACAGGUUCCACAUGGAGUCUCUAGUCGGCUGCGCUGCGGGCCUUAGGUCCGUCCUCUGCUCCGGGACGAGGUCUUGAGUAUAAAGAACCAGUCAGUCAUCAAGCUGCUUGGUCUCUUCAAAGAGGUGGAGGUUUGACCGCCUGCACCAUGAGGACGCUGUGGAUACGAUUGACCUGGAGAAAGAGCUUACCUUCCAUGGAUGAGGAGCUGGUUGGUCUAAUCACGAGCCGCCUUCGGACCUCCACCGCCGGAUCCCCCAGCCGUCCUCCACCGCCGGGACCGUCUCCUCCAGGACCUCCACCGGGCCAACCGCCUGGACCUCCGCAACGUCGCCUCAUUUCUUCUGAAAUGUGACACACGUUCUAUUUGCACCCCGGACAUUCCUCCCCGUUCAUGAUGCACUGGAGAAGAGCUUAGCUUUACUGGAUGAGGAGCCGCCUCCUCCGGGCCCUCCAGGACGCCGCCGCUGGGCCCUCCAGGCUGACCGCCGCCAGGUGGACGCCACCGCCGGGACCUCCAGGUUGGUCCCAACCACCGCCUCCAGGCCCUCCAGGUUGGUCCCAACCACCGCCUCCAGGCCCUCCAGGCCCUCCAGGUUGGUCCCCACCACCGCCUCCAGGCCCACCGACUCCAGGACCACCAGGUUGGCCUCCACCUCCAGGCCCGCCGUUGCCUCCAGGAUCUCGGCCGUCUCCAGGCCUUCCAGGUUGGCCGCCUCCAGGCCCUUCUGAAAUGAGCCGCCACCUGGCCCUCCAUGCCGC